rnacentral:rRNA from 1 species
CCUACGGGAGACUGCAGUCGAGAAUCAUUCACAAUGGGGGAAACUCUGAUGGUGCGACGCCGCGUGGGGGAAUGAAGGUCUUCGGAUUGUAAACCCCUGUCAUGUGGGAUCAAAUUAAAAAGAUAGUACCACAAGAGGAAGAGACGGCUAACUCUGUGCCAGCAGCCGCGGUAAUACAGAGGUCUCAAGCGUUGUUCGGAAUCACUGGGCGUAAAGCGUGCGUAGGCUGUUUCGUAAGUCGUGUGUGAAAGGCGCGGGCUCAACCCGCGGACGGCACAUGAUACUGCGAGACUAGAGUAAUGGAGGGGGAACCGGAAUUCUCGGUGUAGCAGUGAAAUGCGUAGAUAUCGAGAGGAACACUCGUGGCGAAGGCGGGUUCCUGGACAUUAACUGACGCUGAGGCACGAAGGCCAGGGGAGCGAAAGGGAUUAGAUACCCGAGUAGUC